GUAGGUGAACCUGCGGAAGGAUCAUUACCGAGUGAGGGCCCUCUGGGUCCAACCUCCCACCCGUGUUUAUUUACCUUGUUGCUUCGGCGGGCCCGCCUUAACUGGCCGCCCGGGGGCGUGAGCCCCCCGGCCCGCGCCCGCCGAAGACACCCUCGAACUCUGUCUGAAGAUUGUAGUCUGAGUGAAAAUAUAAAUUAUUUAAAACUUUCAACAACGGAUCUCUUGGUUCG
rnacentral:misc_RNA from 1 species